rnacentral:lncRNA from 1 species
UCACAUCCAAAAAUUUUAGAAUGGAACGGUUAUAUUAGUGACGUGGUGUGACACCUCAAUAAUCCCACAUCGGAUGGGAAAGGGAUUAUCAUUGGGUUUAUAAUAGACUUAGACACUAGUAAUAAUAACUGGGCUUAAGCAUUUUGGGCUGUGGUUGGGCCCAACGAGUUAUUAUUGCUAGUGGGCUGGGUCGUUUCAUUUGGUAUCAGAGCCGGUUCACCAGCUGGACAUGUGUGGCGAGUCUUGGCUGAGCCAGAGUCUGGAUGACGGGCUAGCGAGAUGAGUCUCACAUCGCCUGGUGAUCUUGGGUUGUGUAUGUGAUUGGACUGACGAGGACGUCAGGGUCUUAACGGGGGGAGUCUGUGACACCCCAAUAAUCCCACAUCGGAUGGGAAAGGGGUUAUCAUUGGGUUUAUAAUAGACUUAGGCACUAGUAAUAAUAACUGAGCUUAAGCAUUUUGGGCUGUGGUUGGGCCCAACGAGUUAUUAUUGCUAGUGGGCUGGGUCGUUACACGUGGCGUAACAAGCCAAUCAAAUAUUUUUUUAAAAAAAUAUAUAUCCUAUGAUUAUUAUAAAAAAAUAUUUUUAUUGUACUUUUGUUUGAAUAGAAGAAAAAUGAUUGGCUUGUUAUUGAUGACGUGGUGCAAGUGUGAUAGUGUAGAAUUCCCCACCCUCACAUCGUCACAAGAAUUGAUUUCAAGAGGUUAAAUUACACUUUGGUCCUCAAACAGUAAGGAAAAUGACAAAUUCUUAAAUUUUCUUGAUUAAAAUUAUAUUUUUUAUUUUAAAAUUUGUAAAUUAUUAUAAAUAACUUCUACAUUCUUAUUUAGUUAACUAAAUAUUAAUCUAUCAGUUGUGACGCGAGCUUUCGAGACUAGUGGUCAUCCAUCCUAAAACUACUCUAACCGUAAGCUUGCUUAUUCUGACUAUACAGAAUUCCGAAGGUAUCACAUUUUUCCUCGCUUAAACUCUAACGUGCUCGUCAUGCUCAAGUAUACUUACAAGUAUAAUUAUUUGCUCUGAUAUUGAGUGAUUACUCAUCCUAAUAUUACUCUUACUUAGCCCUCUUAAUCGUUUAGGCUUAACUACUACUUAAAAUGUUAUAGUCGGAUAAAGAGAUUUAGUCCUACUAUACCUUAUAUACGAGACUAUUUUAAAUCCAAAAGGUGUUGCAUCACUGAUGUUGAAUUUAUGUACUAAUAUUUGAUCGAUGAGACGACAUCACCAGUGCAUUACUGAUGUGGAAGUGAUGUAAUAGUAAUGCUAUCCAAAUUUUGUACUUGGUUUAAUAUAUUUAAAUCUAACUAUUGUAGUUGAAAUUGUACAAGGCAGCUCAAUUGUAAUAGAGAGAAUGAUGUUCAAAUUUACUUUAGUUCCAACUACAGCACCUGGAGAGAAUAGUUUUAAAUAAAAAGUAAUCUUACCUCUCUAAUCACCUUUUAAACAAAAUAUUUAUUUAUUUAUUUAUUUUCUGUUGAGAUUAUUUUACCAUCUCAUAUAUAAAAUAAUUAAACUUUACAUAUGCAUUUCUCAACUAUAUACAAUUAAAUAAAUUAUUUACUGUUACAGUAAUUUGACAUGGUACCAUAACUAUAUUAAUUACAUGUAUCAUCUAUGCAUGUCAAGUACUUAUUAAUUAAGUUCAUAUUUAAAGAAAAUGACAAAAACCAAGUUCCGCCGUGGUUUUGGUAAAACCGUUAUGUAAAUAUUCAUUUUUUUAUAUUUUCUUCCUGACUUUAAAAAACUAUAUAUUAUACUCGAUCUCUCAAAAUUUUAAAUUGAUAUAUUUAGACAUAUUUUAUUUAUUUUUUAUAAUUUACACCGAAAAUAUCUUUAAGAAUGACAGUAAGAUAUUAAAAAAUUAUUUUUUUCAUAGAUUAAGUAAUAAUAGCUUGAUAAUUUCGCUCUUUCUCCAUUACGACCGUUACCCUAAAAUAUUUUUAAAAAUUUAAGAAAAUAAAAUAUAGAUUUUUAAAUGUCUGGAAGAAAACGUAAAAAAAAAUAGAUAUUUGUAAGAAAAAUUUCUUUAAUAUUUGUUCUUUAUAU